UUCGCUUCUCGGCCUUUUUGGCUAAGAUCAAAGUUUAGCUUCUGUUCUCAUCGAAUUAAUAUUCGAUAGAGACUCGAAUGACUCUCGUUAAGGUUACCUGAUUUUCGGAACCGGAUGGGUUUGUUCGCAGAGUUGCACUGCUGCAGGGAUCGGCUCACCUCUU
rfam:Necator americanus N_americanus-1.0_Cont91.56, whole genome shotgun sequence.